AGGAGCUGCCUAAGCUGCACCAAGCUCAGCCAUGUGCCAGAAUCACGGCUUGAGCAGGCUCUCUGAGCUUUAUUGUCAACUUUAAAUGAUAAGAUAACAGCAGCUUCCUAGAAGAUUGCUUUAAGAAUUGCAGAUUAAUCAUCCUUGAGUGAUGAAAGACAGAUACCAACAAAUGAAAUUAGACUCUCUCUGACUAUCCUCAGAUCAGAAACUCUAGAGACAUGCAGCAGUUUGGGAGGACCAAAUCGGAGCCAGACAUGGAGAGAGAAGAGAGAGUGAAAGGUAUCUGAGAUGGUGACAUGUCCCAGCAGGCUCUGAUUCAGCUAACUUGCUGUGAAUGAAAGACAAUGAAGAAGCAGAGAGCCAAGUUGUUACCAUAUGACCCUCAGAUAGGGCAUUUUUCUCUGUCUCUGAAAUAGAAAUAAUAUCUGGUGUGUUGGUAUCAGAGAAUUCUAGUAAGAAAGAAAUGCAUUAUAAUUUGUGUAUGUGCUGGGGAAAUGCUUUAAAAAGCCAACCGACCAACCAUGCUCUACAGCUAAA